UCUCGUUCAUAACAUUCAUUAAGCCAGAGGGUUUAAUCGCAAAGAUCUGUUAAUCCAUGGGUUCAACAAAAAAAAUAUAGGAACUUAUUUGUGACUAUGAGAAAACACAAGGGCUGAAGUGAAAACAGCCAAAGAGAUAAGGUUCUCUUCUUUUUCUCUCCGGAGUGGUUCCUGAUGUGGAUUUCUCCCAUAAGUGCCGCGACCACGGCGCCUCACGGCCGGUGACGGACAGUCGAGGACGGGAGGCGGCUCGGCGCGGCGUAUAGGAGAGGAGAGGCGGCGCGGUCAUGGCACCAGCGAGCGAGGGCGAGCGCAGCCAAGGCGCGCCUGCGGACGACGAGGCCACGACGCAGGCGGGCGAGGGCGAGCGCAGCCACCGUGCGAUUGCGGACGGUGAGGCCAUGACGCACGCGGCCACGGCUUGACGCUAUCGGCCACGGCGUGGGGCGGGCGGGGCCAGUCGCGGCCUGGUGCGGCCGGCCGCGUCUACGGCUUGGUGCGUGUGUGCGUCCGGGCGUUGAGGCCUGCUGCGUGCAUUCUUCAUUGACGCGUUUGAUCCUUUUGCAUGUUCCUCCUGAAUCGGGUUUGCUCUGGAUCAAGUUCGCUCUGUUCUUGAUAAGGAAAUACACAGUUCUUCGUCCUGUACUUCUUGUUUGCGAGUUAUUAGAUCUUAGAUUGAUUGCUAGAAAACAAAGACAAAUUGAACAAUCUCCUGAUGCAGUUUUCCUCUUUUACGAAUGUACGCAUGUCCAUGGAUUAUUUCUGUGGACUUCGUCGAGACCGAUCAAAUCUGCGGCGACGACAAGAAUUCUCUUCUCUCGUGUGGCCUUUUCUCAUGGGAGAACAGAAGUGCAUGAUAACGUGUAAAGAAUAAAAGAAAAGAAGAAGAGCAAAUGAUGGAACGAUUGCUUUCAUUGAUGAAUUUGUGGGUAUAUAUACCCUGGUACAAAGGUGGUUACAAAGGAGCGGUUCCCAAAAAUGGAACCGACAUAAGCAGGGAUUAACCCUUUAAUUAACAUAAUUAAUUAAUUCCUAACACAAACUACCACCCCUAAGGAACC
rnacentral:lncRNA from 1 species